rnacentral:sRNA from 1 species
GGAUGAGAAGCUUCGACUAAGGUUCGAUUCGAGCGCAGCGAGAAAGCGUUGCCGCAGGCAACGACCCGAAGGGUGAGGAGCGGAGCGACGAAUAAUCCUUCCCCCACCAUCA